rnacentral:rRNA from 1 species
GACGUAGGGCGCGAGCGUUGUCCGGAUUUAUUGGGCGUAAAGAGCUCGUAGGCGGUUUGUCGCGUCUGCUGUGAAAACCUAAGGCUCAACCUUGGGCUUGCAGUGGGUACGGGCAGACUAGAGUGCGGUAGGGGUGACUGGAAUUCCUGGUGUAGCGGUGGAAUGCGCAGAUAUCAGGAGGAACACCGAUGGCGAAGGGCAGGUC